rnacentral:rRNA from 1 species
CCCAGCUUGCUGGGUGGAUUAGUGGCGAACGGGUGAGUAACACGUGAGUAACCUGCCCUUGACUCUGGGAUAAGCCUGGGAAACUGGGUCUAAUACUGGAUAUGACUUCCCAUCGCAUGGUGGGGGGUGGAAAGAUUUAUUGGUCUUGGAUGGACUCGCGGCCUAUCAGCUUGUUGGUGAGGUAAUGGCUCACCAAGGCGACGACGGGUAGCCGGCCUGAGAGGGUGACCGGCCACACUGGGACUGAGACACGGCCCAGACUCCUACGGGAGGCAGCAGUGGGGAAUAUUGCACAAUGGGCGCAAGCCUGAUGCAGCGACGCCGCGUGAGGGAUGACGGCCUUCGGGUUGUAAACCUCUUUCAGUAGGGAAGAAGCGAGAGUGACGGUACCUGCAGAAGAAGCGCCGGCUAACUACGUGCCAGCAGCCGCGGUAAUACGUAGGGCGCGAGCGUUAUCCGGAAUUAUUGGGCGUAAAGA